CGUGAGCCUCCUUUGCUUACUCCUAACCGUCACCAAUUUUUCAUUCCUUAGCCAAAUUCAAUUAUUAGAAGCUUGUUGGAACCAUGAGGGUUCAUAGAUCAUCAUCCCUAAGUUAGGGCAAGCAAGAGAGCAAAGCAAGAGGGUGCUAGGACUUGAGAAAGGGAGGAACUCAUGAGAGCUAGAACAUGAGGAGCUUGAGGAUUCACCAAAUUUCUAAGAUUGACAGGUUAUAUGUUAGCUUGUCCGAGUAGCGUGGUGAAGCUCCGCUCUGAUUGUGACACGGGGAGAAAAGGGGUUUUGUACAUAUAUAUAUAUAUAUAUAAAUUCCUUUAGAAAAUCACUCUGUAAUUGCUUAUGUUUUCAUAUAAGAAUUAUUCUUGGUGAAAAGUAUUGGUUUUGUAUCACUUAUAACGCAUCGUGUUGAUGCGGAGGAUUUUGUAUUUUGUGUUAUUCAAACCAGCGCUUUAUAAUCAGAUUUUCAAUUUUUCCGCUGCGUAUUUUCGAAAAAGAUUUUAUAAAGGUAGAGUUAAUUAAAUAACGAGUUUGGGUGUUACAUUUAUGACAACAAUGUGUAAUAGAACGAUUGGAUACUGAUGACAGUCACUUAUUUGUUAAUUUAAUUGGAAUUUUUUUAGUAGUUUUAUAAGUUUUUAGGAAAAAUGCAUGGUCAAAGAGAAGAAUAUUGGAAGAAAUUAACAUAGCAGAAAGUUUGAAGACAAAAGACCACAAAAAGAAUAGACUUAGAAAAAUAUUGCCAAUUUUGAAGGCUUCUCACACCAGGAGCUACUGUAUUUCUCGCGGCACGAUCCAAUUCAAAUCGCAGCGCAAUUUACUACAGCAGGACAGAUAUGACACGUGCUGAUGCAAUCAGUUUUUUUAUUUUAUCCCUUGAAUGAUGAUGUGGCGACAUGGUACAGGGCUAUUCCUUUUAUUGGUGUCACGUGAUUGCUCCUUCUAAGCAUAUAAAUAAUAAGCUAUUUUAACCUAAGGAACACACG